rnacentral:rRNA from 1 species
UACGGGGGGGGCAAGCGUUGUUCGGAAUUACUGGGCGUAAAGGGCGCGUAGGCGGCCAUCUAAGUCAGACGUGAAAUCCCUCGGCUCAACCGAGGAACUGCGUCUGAUACUGGAAGGCUUGAAUCCGGGAGAGGGAUGUGGAAUUCCGAGUGUAGAGGUGAAAUUCGUAGAUAUUCGGAGGAACACCAGAAGCGAAGGCGGCUCACUGGCCCGAGACUGACGCUGGAGGCGCGAAAGCGUGGGGGAGCAAACAGG